rnacentral:rRNA from 1 species
AGUGAACGCUGGCGGUAGGCCUAACACAUGCAAGUCGAACGGCAGCACAGUAAGAGCUUGCUCUUACGGGUGGCGAGUGGCGGACGGGUGCGGAAUACAUCGGAAUCUACUUUUUCUUGGGUGCUAACGUAGGGAAACUUACGCUAAUACCGCAUACGACCUACGGGUGAAAGCAGGGGAUCUUCGGACCUUGCGCGAUCCAAUGAGCCGAUGUCGGAUUAGCUAGUUGGCGGGGUAAAGGCCCACCAAGGCGACGAUCCGUAGCUGGUCUGAGAGGAUGAUCAGCCACACUGGAACUGAGACACGGUCCAGACUCCUACGGGAGGCAGCAGUGGGGAAUAUUGGACAAUGGGCGCAAGCCUGAUCCAGACAUACCGCGUGGGUGAAGAAGGCCUUCGGGUUGUAAAGCCCUUUUGUUGGGAAAGAAAAGCAGCAGGUUAAUACCCCGCUGUUCUGACGGUACCCAAAGAAUAAGCACCGGCUAACUUCGUG